rnacentral:lncRNA from 1 species
UGCAAAGGGGGUUUGGUUGUUGAACAUAAUUCUGGGGAUGGGGAUGAUGAUGAUGAUGAUAUAUACACAAGAAGCUUGGACGGUUGGAGCAGAUGGCUGCGUAUCUUUGUGAUAGAUUGGCCUUUGUGUUGUUGGGGCACGUCCUAAAACCUUACUGGUCAGCAAUGGAGCUAAAACGCUAAGGUCAGGGUCAAUCUCCGACAGCAUAUAGAAUGCAGUAAUAAUGAAUUAAAUUAAAUGAAAGUUUAUACAAUAAACAUAUUUUUUUUCCAAUGUAAAAUAUGUUUUUAAGUUAAAAUUAUACUCAAAUUUAACAAUAAAAAUCACUCUACGAAUUUGUGUUUAGAAACAUGGACGAAUUUGUGUUUAGAAACAUGGACAGAAUUUAUUUUAUUAUUAAUUCCUCCUAUUACCUGACUUGAUGUGGAUUAAUUGCGGGAUUCUACUCACUUUUAGUAUUUUACAUUUAUUUCAGGAAGUAGAACGAAAAUAUAAUAACAGGUACUAAUUUGGCAGGAAAACAGUCCAGAUGAUAGAGUUUAUCGCAUUUUUUAAACAACAAAAUGAGAGCCCUUGUUGGACAAAUUGGGCCGAAGUCUUCUUUUCGGAGUGAGCCGCCGCACAUCAAAAGGGAGGCAGAGGAUAA